rnacentral:rRNA from 1 species
AGUUAGGGCUCGACUCCGGAGAACAAGCCUGAGAAACGGCUAGUAGGACUAAGGUCUGCAGCAGGCGCGAAACUUACACAAUGCUAGAUUACUGAUUAUAGCGAUGUAGUGAAGAAAAAUAACGAUGUACUUACAUUUAAACAUGUUAGUACAAUUGGAAUGAGACGACUUUAAACCAGUCAGUCGAGUAACAAAUGGAGGGCAAGUCUGGUGCCAGCAGCCGCGGUAAUUCCAGCUCCAUUAGCAUACAUUAAAGUUGUUGCGGUUAAAAAGCUCGUAGUUGAAUGUUGGGCGGCCAUGUGGGUGCUGGGGUGGUUAAGGGCGUUGAUUCGACUUCGGUCGUCCUCGCCUCACUUCAGCCAACCCAAGUUGGUCGCCGUUUCGUCACUUAAUCGAGUGCGAAGCAGGGCGGGAUGCCGGCCACUCCGGUGGCCUCCACUCCGCCAGGUUUACCUUGAGAAAAUUAGAGUGCUCACAGCAGGCAGUUGGGGCCUAACAGCCCCUUUAUGCUUGAAUAAUGUUGCAUGGAAUAAUAGAAUACGGCCUCGGUUCUAUUCUGUUGGUCUUAUAGAACAACAAACAAGUUGGCGGCGGGCCUAAAAGGUCCCCUGGACGGGCGGCCGUCUCGYACCUGUUGUCUGGAAGUAAAACUCCAGUACCUCUGCGAGCGCGCCAUCAAACCCCCCAUCGGACUAAACCCCCGUCCAACUGAGGCAAUGGUUAAAAGAAAUAGUCGCGGCGGCAUCAGUACUGCAUCGUGAGAGGUGAAAUUCUUAGACCGAUGCAAGACUAACUGAAGCGAAAGCGUUUGCCGAGGAUAUUUUCAUUAAUCAAGAACGAAAGUUAGAGGUUCGAAGGCGAUCAGAUACCGCCCUAGUUCUAACCAUAAACGUUGCCAACUAGCAAUUGGGUUGCGAUUCCUUUAAUCGGGGCCUCAAAAACCCCGAUCAUUAUGAUCCACCCAGCGGCUCUCGUAGGGAAACCAAAGUGUUUGGGUUCCGGGGGAAGUAUGAUUGCAAAGUUGAAACUUAAAGGAAUUGACGGAAGGGCACCACCAGGAGUGGAGCCUGCGGCUUAAUUUGACUCAACACGGGGAAACUUACUAGAUUAAAACUCUGGAAUGAUUGACAGAUUGAUAGCUCUUUCUUGAUUCAGAGGAUGGUGGUGCAUGGCCGUUCUUGAUUCGUAUUCCGAAACGUCUGCUUAAUUGCGAUAACGAGUGAGACCUCACCCAACUAACUAGUCGCUCGGUGCGCCGUGGGGCGCUCAAGUCGGACGUGGAUCAGCAAUGGAGAUUCGUCAAAGUUGCCCCGCGUUCGAUGCCCUCUGCUCGCCGGCGGACUUCUUAGAGGGAUAAACGGUGUUUUAGCCGUAAGAAACGAGGCAAUAACAGGUCUGUGAUGCCCUUAGAUAUUCUAGGCCGCACGCGUGCUACAAUGGCGUGUGCAGAGAGCUUGUUCGAGGUCCGUCCGGGGGGAACUGGUGGUUUGGUUGCGUGAGGGCAGCAAUGUUUGAGCGUAGUCGGCCGCAAAGUGCCCCGGUCUCGGGCCGAGAGAAACCGCGGCCGAAAGGUCGCGGCAAUCAGAAAUACACGCCGUGAUUUGGGAUUGGGGAUUGCAAUUGUUGCCCAUGAACGAGGAAUUCCCAGUAAGCGCAAUUCAUCAUAUUGCGUUGAUUACGUCCCUGCCCUUUGUACACACCGCCCGUCGCUACUACCGAUUGGAAGUUUUAGUGAGGCAUCUGGACCUGCCGUCCAGGAGGGGGGCAACCCUCUCAGGCUGGCGGGGAAGUUUGUCGAACUCAAAUUUCUAGAGGAAGUAAAAGUCGUAACAAGGUUUCCGU